GAGAGUAUAGCUCAGUGGUAGAGCAUGUGCUUAGCAUGCAUGAGGUCCUGGGUUCAAUGUCCAGUACCUCCA
rnacentral:tRNA from 1 species